AAGUCGUAACAAGGUUUCCGUAGGUGAACCUGCGGAAGGAUCAUUAAUAAAAAUCUUCUCGAAAGAGAAGUAUUUAAUAUUGCUGAAAGGCUUUAUUAUUUAACCAAUUUUAAGUAUUAAAUGAGUACUAAAAUUACUACUUGUAGUAAGAUUAGUGGUUAUUUUGCUUUUAAAUUUACCUUUAAAGCAAUUUAAAGUUGAAUUUAAAAAUAAAAUAAUGCUAAUUAUAUUUAGUUAGUAUUUAUAUUAAUUAAAUAUAUUCAGUAUAAAUUUACCUACUUUUUGUAACCUGAAGCGUAAAACCUUCAAACCAUACCACUUUAAAAAUUAUAAAAAUAAAUUUACAACUUAUAACAAUGGAUCUCUCGGCUCCUA
rnacentral:misc_RNA from 1 species